CGGGCCCCCCGCCACCACCCCGGGGCCCUGCCCCUUCCCUCCCCCCGCUACCCAGGUCCAUAUCCAAGCCCCUGCAGCUCCACCUUGCCGGCCGCAGGUACACAGUGCUUACUGCGUGGUACGUAGCGCUAUACUUGGGGCGACUGUCAGGUGCGGUACUCAUUGCGCUCACUCCAAAAUAGCUCUGGUUUUAACUGCUCUUUACCUGAGCAAGAAUGGAGCACGGCAAAGUUUGAGUGCCUACCGCGAGCGCCACGUAGCCCUAACAGGUUAUGUGGCAUGCACAAAGAUGGCCAGAAGUGAAGGUCACCACCUUAUGAGUCUCCGAAGCCUCCAGCCUUCUUUCUGCAGUGCGACUCUGGAUAGGAGAUUUGACUCCGAGCUCAGCUCUAGACGCAGUGAUUUAGUAUUUGAACCAGUCAGCUGCUUACCCAGCGAGAUCACCAAGCUUACAAAUAACGGAGGUUUACAUAGCUGCGACCCAACAGAUUGUCUAGGGUUGCUCCCAGCCCUUUAUACCAUUAAUAUUCAAUAGAGCUCAACACUGGCCUGACCCUGAGUUCAUGCACAGUGAUACCAACAUUUCAGAAGUUCCUGGCAUUCAGAGCUUCAUCUACUUUUUCAAAGUCAAACAGUGGAGUGAUUGUGUCCUGACUCACUUGAGAACUCUAAGACAAGCAGGACAGUUUUUUACUUCCAGUCCCUCGUUUUGGGUGACAUGUAUCUCCUUUACAGUGAAGGGCACCCAUGCCAGGUGUUGAGUUGCUCCAGACCUCAGAGCAAAGACAUCCAUUUCUGAUACAUUCCCCCAAGAUAGGCUCCUUUGCACUGCCCAGCACCAUUCUCUGUGAGGGUUAACCCUGGAAUUUCUUCUCAGUUUGGUUGCUUAAUCUUGGGUAUAGUUCAGGGACUAAUAUGUGUAACAACAGUGCAUAUGACCAGAUUUUUCAAGAUAGCUGGUUCAUUUCCGAGGCUAAGUGUUACCCAGGGCUGUAAGCUUUCAUGCCAGACUGAAAGCCCCAGAUGUUCAGUGGGUAUUGCAGAAUCUGUCUUGGUUUCUGUGAUACCCUGUUCCAGGCUCUGUCGCAGUCAGAGUGGGUGAACUUUUGUAUUCCAUGCUCUGUGGCAUUCAGAAUGUCCCCACAACUAUAUGGUCAGUUCUUUGAAAACUGGAACCUUGUCUUAAACCUUCUGCAUAGUGAAGUGAUGGCAGAGUCCUGGAGAUAGGCUCCAGGGAGGCAAAUGUUAACCCACUGUUUGUUUUUGAGGUUCAGAACUAGAAAGGAAGUCAGGAAGGGCCUGAAAGACACCCAGAUACAAGGCAAAAACCACAGCCCUCAGAUAGCUUCUAAUGCCCCAUCCAAUUCCAAAUUCUCUGAUUCUGGGAGUUCCUUUACCAGCCAGAGCUCUUGGUAGCUCAUCAUGGCCACUGACACUUGUAACAUUGAGGCUGACUUUAGGGAGGAGCUUGUAUCUGGCAAUCAGAAGCAAGCCACGCUUAGAUAUCUUACAUACAGGUCCCCUUGCUUUUUAGCUUUGGCUGCCCUCCACUUAAGGGAGAAAGACAGUGCCUCCUGCCGGCCAGGAGUCAUGAAUGAGGCUUAGAGGUAUUUGUCAGCAAAGAAGGAAUAGCCACAGCCUGACCUUUUCCCUUCCACAUGGUGCACACUUUGGAGGCCCUGUAUGUUUCUCCACCUAGAUCCUAGGCUAAUUGCUCUGAUUAACUGUACAUAGUUAAGCUGAUCAAUUUCUUUAUCCCUCACACGGUUCUAUAACAUUUUAUCAGUUAAGUUGUUUUGAGAUUAGAGAUUUUAUUCCUCUCCCUAGCAUUUGUCAGUCAGGAUUUGGUAUUGUCACCUGUCACCAGAAGAACUUGGAGUGUGAGUAUGUAUGUACAUGCCUGAGCCAGAGGUCAACCUUGAGUGUCAUCCUCAGAAGCUAUCCACCUUAGUUUUUGAGACAGGGUCUCUCACUGAGAUUUGGGACUCACCAGUUAGAUUAGGUGGACUGCUUAGUAAGUCCCAGAAAUAAUCCUUUCCCACCUUCCCAGUGCCAGCCAACAAAGUGCACCACUGUACUGGUUUUUUUAUUUUAUGUGUACCAGUGUUUUGCUUGCAUGUAUGUAUGUGUACCAUGUACAUACAGUGUCUACAGAGGCCAGAAGAAGGCAUCAGAUCCCCUGGAAAUGAAGUUACAGCCAGUUGUGAGAUGGCAUGUGGAUCUGGGAACCAAACCCAUAUCCUCUGCAAGGUUACAGUCCAUCAUGGAGGGAUGCCAAGGCAGGAACCUGGAGCCGAUAACUGAAGCAGAGACCGUGGAGAGAUGCUGCUUACUGGCUUGCUCAGCCACCUUUGUUAUGCUGCCCAGGCCCAACCUGCCCAGUGGGUAGCACCCCCCACAGUAGGCUGGGUGCUCCCAUGUCAAUUAUCACUCCAGAAAAUGCCCCCCACCCCCCGGGCAGUCUGAUGGAGGCAGCCCCUCAGUGGACUUCCCCUCUUCCAAAGUGUGUCUGGUUGACAACUGAAGCUAACUAGGACAAGAGUGUGCUCACACUGAGUGUCCCCAACGUUAGAACUACUGAUUGACAGGUUUGUUGCUUGCCUGGCCCGUGUGACCUUUGUAUUUUCGGGACAGUUGGUUAUAGACCCAAGGUCUCCCAUCAUGUGGGUUCAGGUCUCUGUGUGUUGAACCCUGGCUGGCGCUGUCAUGUUAGAAUAAGUGGCAAAUGGCAGCCCCCAGUGCAGAUUCUGUGUGUUUCCCAGGACAGAGUAGAAGAAGCUCUGAGUGAGGAGAUGAGCCUGUCUUGUUACCUGUCUUGCUAUGGGUGGUGGGUGUGGUCUGGAUGAUUGUAGCUAAGUUCCUCAAUUCCCAUGGAAUUCUUGGUCUAUCCGCUGAGGUGAGCUGUUAGCUGAUAGUAAGAAGCCAAGCUGGGCUAUAUAAGCCCCUGUUUCCAAAAAAACCAGAAUGUUAGCCCAUAGGGAAGAGAACAUGAAUGGAUUAUUCAGUGUGGGGACUAAUACAAAAUCCUGAAAGCAGUGUUGCCGUGCCAGGAAAAGUUCCCUUUGGUUACAAGUUAAACAGUGUUGUUUAAAAAAAAAAAAAUAGCUGCUGAGUCCAAAGGCUCUUUGCUAUGCUUGGCUUGAUGGUCUUUCUGGAGAUGCACACCGAGGGCUUGGGCUUAAAGAGGCACCAGUUGAGAUCUGAGCCAGCUGGGCUUGGCCUCCUGUGUUCAGUUUUGUCUCUAACAUGCCCUUAGGUGACCUGGGAGCAGUUUGAGAGGUAAUACUCAAUGUCAGCCAGGCAGGGCUCCCUAGCAGGAGCUGAGUCCUCACCAGAGGACAAUGGCUAGCCCUGUGUGGUGGCCCCUGCCUCAGGCUGUGUCUGUGGGUGUAUGGGAGGGUGCCAGGGAAGUUCCCACUGGGUGAUGUUGGCAGGCUUUUUGUUUCUCCACACAGUUGCACCUGCCCAUGUGGUUAUCAAUUACAUUUCUUAUAGGUAAAAAUGCAGUGAAGGGGGACUGUCCCCAGGUUGGGGAAGGAUAGUCAGUACUGUUUAGCAGUUGGCAGGCACCAGACCAAAAUUGGCAGUUACAGCCCUAAAGGAUUUUGAACAGGCAGUUCGGGCCAGGAUUCAUAGUAAGGUAGGAGAUAGUGACCCUUGCCAGCAUGAGAAGCAGAAGGAGACCACCCGCCUUCCCCUCACAGCCACCAUGCUUGGUGCUGCUGGACAGCCUCCUGCCUGCUAGGCUAUCGAGUACCUCCUAAGCGCUCUAGCAAAUUCCGUGUUCUAAGAAGUUCUGUGUUAAUUUCGUGCUUUUCUGUGUUAGACCAAAGUUUAGUUUUUGAUACAGACAGAGAUCCCAGAAUAUCAAGUGCUCCACCCCACCCCUUUGGCCCUUGAGCUGGAGCUGCACUCUUUCUGGCCCUACCCUUUUUCCCUGACAGUAGCUCUGCCUCCCUCCCAGCUCUGGGUUCUGCACAAGGCAAAGCAACUUUUCCUCACAAUCCCCAAAGAGGUCACUCUAGAAAGCCAAGCAUCUCCGAAGAGAGACCAGAGAGCUUUCUGCUGAGAAAACAGCAGCCUCCACAGCACUGGGGCUAAGUGCCCCAAGCAGGCACAGGGAAGGCUGGCAGCCUGCUGGGGUUCUCGGGGCUCUCAGGUGCCUCAGCUUUUGCUGUGCCUCAUAACUGCUGUGCUAAUGAGCAGAAAGCACAGGAGACUGUUGUGUGUGACCUGGUGACCCGGCCCUCUCUGGUCACUUCCCACCGGAACAGUUGUUAUAGCACCAGACAGUGAGACUUCUCACCUUUAGCCCACAUUCCUUGCUCUUGUGUCCAGCAUCACAUGUCGCAGCUGUCAGCAGCCCAAAAUAGAAGAGGCUUCCAGAGGAGAGGCGUCAUCAAUGGAGCCAGGGCUCCUGGCCUUUUCCUGCCGUGUGUGUGUCAAAAUGUAGCCCAUCACAUCUGCACAGCCAGCCUGUUCUAGCCCCACAGCGAGGGGCACAGAAACAGAUCCCCAAGCUCUAGAGACUGUUUUUCCUAGG